rnacentral:ncRNA from 1 species
GCUGGAGAAGGUCCCAAGGGUUUGGCUGUUCGCCAAUUAAAGCGGUACGCGAGCUGGGUUCAGAACGUCGUAAGACAGUUCGGUCCUUAUCCUCCAUGGGCGUAGGAUAUUUGAGAGGCGCUGUCCCUAGUACGAGAGGACCGGGAUGGACAAACCUCUGGUGUUCCAGUUGUUCACCAAGAGCAAAGCUGGGUAGCUAGGUUUGGACGAGAUAACCGCUGAAAGCAUCUAAGUGGGAAACUCACCUCAAGAUUAGAUAUCCCGAGUCGCAAGACUCAUAAGAUUCCUUGAAGACUACAAGGUUGAUAGGCUGGGUGUGUAAGCACAGUAAUGUGUUGAGCUAACCAGUACUAAUAAAUCGAAUGUUUUAUCUAC